CGGGUGUGUAACACGUAGGUAACGUACCCCUGAGAGGUGGAUAACCUUCCGAAAGGAGGGCUAAUACAGCGUAAGACCACGUUGUCGAAAGGCGACGAGGUAAAAGCGGGCCACUCUAUAGAAGCUCGUGCUCGGGGAUCGGCCUGCGGCCCAUCAGCUAGUUGGCGGGGUAAUGGCCCACCAAGGCGAAGACGGGUAGCUGGUCUGAGAGGGUGACCGGCCACACUGGGACUGAGACACGGCCCAG
rnacentral:rRNA from 1 species